rfam:Triticum aestivum genome assembly, contig: Triticum_aestivum_CS42_TGACv1_scaffold_592624_7BS
AAACUACUCCCUCCAUUCGGAAUUACUUGUGUCGAAAAUGGAUGUAUCUAGAACUAAAAUACAUCUAGAUACAUCCAUUUUUGUGACAACUAAUUCUGAACGGAGGGAGUAAUAU